AAAAUCUGAUUUCUCUGCGGUUGCUGAUGCUACAGCGCGUGCUAAGAUCAGUAAGGAUGCCUCAAAUGCUCCUGUGGAGCUAAGUGACCUGGAAGAUUAUAAAGAUGUAUUACUACCUCUUGAUUAUGGAGAUAAAGAGUUGUUACUACCUCUUGAUUAUGCACAUAAGUCAAAAAGCAGCGACAUGUUACUACCUCUUGAUUAUGCACAUAAGUCAAAAACCAGCGAGACCUACGAUUAUGGUUCAGCUUACAGGGAUAAAGGCACUUCAGUGCAACUUGAUUUCCAACAAAGAAAGGCAAGCAGGGAAAAUCAUGAUUCAUCAAAUAGAAUCUAUCGCAAAG
rnacentral:lncRNA from 1 species